rnacentral:rRNA from 1 species
CAUGUCCUUUUGAGAAUAAUUUAAGGUCUAAUCUGCCCCCUGAAAUUUAAAUGGCCGCGGUAUCUUGACCGUGCAAAGGUAGCAUAAUAAUUAGUUUUUUAAUUGAAAACUGGAAUGAAUGAUUGAAUGAGAAAAUAACUGUCUUAAUUUAAAUAUUUAGAAUUUUACUUUUAAGUAAAAAGGCUUAAAUUUUAAUAAAAGACGAGAAGACCCUAUAGAGUUUUAUAUUUAAUAUAAUUUGAAAUUAUAGGAUUUAAUUUUUUUAGAUGAUUUUAAGUAUUUUGUUGGGGUGAUAGAAAAAUUUAAUAAACUUUUUCUUUUUAUUACAUUAAUUUAUGAUUUAUUGAUCCAUAAGUUAUGAUUAUAAGAAUAAAUUACCUUAGGGAUAACAGCGUAAUUUUUUUUGAGAGUUCUUAUCGAAAAAGAAGAUUGCGACCUCGAUGUUGGAUUAAAGUUUAAUUAUGGUGUAGGAGCUAUAGAUUUAGGUCUGUUCGACCUUUAAAACUUUACAUGAUCUGAGU